UACGAAGGGGGCUAGCGUUGCUCGGAAUCACUGGGCGUAAAGCGCACGUAGGCGGAUUGCUAAGUCAGGGGUGAAAUCCUGGAGCUCAACUCCAGAACUGCCUUUGAUACUGGCGAUCUCGAGUUCGGGAGAGGUGAGUGGAACUGCGAGUGUAGAGGUGAAAUUCGUAGAUAUUCGCAAGAACACCAGUGGCGAAGGCGGCUCACUGGCCCGAUACUGACGCUGAGGCACGAAAGCGUGGGAGCAAACAGGG
rnacentral:rRNA from 1 species